rnacentral:rRNA from 1 species
UACGUAGGGGGCGAGCGUUGUCCGGAUUCAUUGGGCGUCAAGCGCUUUAAGGCGGUUCGGUAAGUCGGGUGUGAAACCUCCAGGCUCAACCUGGAGACGCCACUCGAUACUGCUGUGACUAGAGUUCGGUAGGGGAUCACGGAAUUCCUGGUGUAGCGGUGAAAUGCGCAGAUAUCAGGAGGAACACCGGUGGCGAAGGCGGUGAUCUGGGCCGACACUGACGCUGUAGAGCGAAAGCGUGGGGAGCGAACAGG